CGUAAAUAACAUCAGAAGUUGGUGUACAUGUUCUAUAAUGUUGUUUAAUGAUUUCAUGUUCAUUUGUUGUGUUGCUAAAUAUUGUAUUUGUGUAAACCUGCAUCUGAUGAAGAGUGUGUGUCUGCGGCGCUGCACGUGUAUGUACUGUGAUGGGCACGCAGCGACUUCAUGCAGACACGUGUUUGUUUCCACAACUGCAGCAGAAACACAGAAAGACAGAUACCUGAUCGAGAAGAACACAGGUGCUCAAGUCUUGUGGUGCACAUGGAAGAUUCAUACAAAUGGAAAGCAGAUCCUCAGAAAUGGAUGUUGUCCCAGAAGCAAGCAUUGUAAAAGAUAAGCUUUACUCUGUCAAGGGAUGGGCAUAAUUAAUCGACCAUCGCUUAAUUGAUCAUUAUUUCUUCAUCAAGAAGAACAAACUGGAUUUUUCUGCAAUGGGAGAAAAAACUUCCCAGGUGGGGAUCAAACCUGUGAUGAACAAACCUGGAUAAAAACAAGAAAAAGUCAACGUCUGAUGUUGAGCGGCCAAUUGUUCAAUCCUUCCAUACAUUUUAUGCAGAGCUGAAUGGACCUGACUUUUUGACAGUCAUAUGAGAGACUAAGGAAUUUUGCCCAGCUGUCUUGUCACAUGUCUACACUCAAACAAAUCAGCAUUGAAGAAAUGCCACUGAGUCACGUGGAUGCAUCGGUUCAAAGCAUUCCGCUAACAAAGAAUAAACCCACAAGGACAUUACCAGUGUUGAACGGAGGGCUAUGCUUCCUCGAGUCAGCUGAUGAGGCCAGGCUGGAUUCUCUGGAAGUCAUCAGUGUCGACCAGUGUGACGACACAAAAACUGGAGGUUAUGAGCAAAGAUGAUAUCUGACAAAUUGAGUCCUACUUCUAUCGAGGUGGAAAGAUAGGUUGGAUGAACUUUUUGCUUGCUGACGAACAUGUGUGGGUCCAUUAUAAAGAGGGAUGCCUACGAACAAGUAAACACAGUCCUGGACCAGACAGUACAUCGUAGAAAUGCCAUCGAGAGAAUGAACAUAUUCCAUCAUCCUGGCAGUGGUGGAAGUACUGUGGCACGACAGAUCCUCUGGAGAUGGAGAGGAAAAAUACGAUGUGCAGUUGUUAGACAGAGCAAGGACGAUGAUCUGAUAUGUGUUACUGUGGUGUCCCAGAACCAAAAGAAAUUAGCUUGUUUGUCAAUAAGAGCGAGGUUUUGUGAUAAAAUUGUAAAUAUGAAAUGCAUAUAAAGUUUUUUGUCUUCAUCUCGAUGUGAACCAUAUUUUUUGCUGUGAAACUUACAAACUUUAAAUUUGGUUGUUUAAUAAUACAUUUAUAUUUGGCUUUUCGCUAAA